CGAGAUGUGGCUCAGUUUGGUAGAGCGCUACGUUCGGAACGUAGAGGCCGCUGGUUCAAAUCCAGUCAUCUCGACCA
rnacentral:tRNA from 1 species